GAACUACAAGUCCCGGCGUGCGCGGGGCAUGCGUGUUUCGGCGGCUGAGAGAGCUCGGUUCCUCGGGCCCGCCCGUGGCUGUGGGUUUUUAAACCAAAGGGAGGUGGCAAAUGGAGGACUAUAGAGACACUUGACAGUUUUCAUAAUUAAAGUAUGAGAACAAGAAAGAAUCCUUGUGACAGCAUUGCCAGUAGGUGUGGACAAAGAUGUCUGUACCAAGAUGAAGGAAAAAAAUUCUGUUGUUGUCAUUCCAUAUCACAAAAUGUCAGCUGGGAGGCUUGGGUGGGCCAUACCCAGUGCCAGGAAUGGACCAGAGGGACCCCAGCAAAGGUCCUACCUUGAAAAUGGAGCCUGGAGGAUGGACAAGGCCAUAAAGAAAGUGGUAAUGAUGUCUGCAGUAGCCUUAAGGCUUUUAGCAGUGGCAAAUCCUUCAGUUUUCACAAAUGAUAUGCACUUAUAGCAUUAUAGCCAACUAGCUCAGAUUUGAUAGCUUACAAAGCUAAGAGUUUGUUAACAUUUCAUUUAUAAGGGGUAAGAAGGGAAAUUUGUAUUCCCAGAAAAUAAGUGUACUGGAGGUUAGGACCUUGAAGAACAGUUAACAGGGGAGAAAAGAAUUAGAUGGGGAAGUGUGGCCUCUACAAAGACAUAAGGUUAUCGCUGCUUCUGUACCUGACUCAAAUACCCAACUCAACCACUGGCAAAAGAAGUAGAAUGUUUGCCUUCUGCUUCACCGAGGACUCCAGUGAAUGCUGGGAAUCAGAUCCUCUGUACUGGAAGACAAAGGGGGAGAUGCCCUGCUUCAAAACUAGACCCUCCUUGCAUAUGUGAAAGCACAUAUGCCACACUGGCUGGCUGAUGCUGCAGAGAGAAAGGAAUGAAGGCAGGGGAAAAUUAGACUCCUUUGAGUCUGCUUCUUUCUUUCCAACACUCAGAGGAUGUGUUUAUUCUGAAUUAUGGAUCAUAUUUUUUGUGAACCAUGGAGCUCUGGAAUUACACUGUCUGCAGUUCACUACUUGCUGCAGUGGUUUAUCUCAGGAUGGAAAAGGUGAAUCAUAAAUUCAGAAAGAAUGUUUUAAUUCUAUUUCUGAUGUGAACUUUGGGCCAAAUUUCAAAUCUAAGUGGAAAGAGGUCAGCUGUGUUUGUAGGUCCAAAGAUUAUAUGCAAGAAAUCAAGCAUUUAGACAAACAGCCAAGAGAUUAGUAAUUCAUGGAUUUGUUGCCACACAUUAUUUAUUCAGUUAAGAUUUUCUUGCAUAACUUCAAGUAGUGUUAUGAAUACUGGAGUUUCCUGGCAUGUACGCAGAAGCAAGUAUUAAUGUAUGAUUAAUUCUUAAGUUUAGUAUAGAGAUACCUCUCAAGUAGUUGUUUGUUUUUAAAAGAGAAAAAAAAUUGUAUUCCUUUAACUGGGUAGGAAACCAAAUCUCCAUUACCCAGCAGGGGUUCCCCAGCCUUGUGACAAGCUCCCAAGUUAAUACAGUUUAGUCAACACAAACAUAUUUUGUCAAAACUUCUGAAGAAUGCUGACCCAGGAUAAGCCAUAGAAGAAAAACUGACAUAAAGCAUAGAACUAAUUGUGCAAUGCUUUAUCUGGAAAAAUGACUUCCUGAUACCAGUGUUAGUAGCAUCAGGAUGUGAUAUUUAGAGAUCUACAUUUGGUUCUUAUCUUCCACAUAUAAAUAUCUUGCAUAUAUAUAUAUAACGUGUUAUAUCCACAUAUAUUAACUAUUGUAUUCAAUGCCUCUUCUCUCUUUUUACCUGAUAUUUUUCAACACAGAUGAUCCUCUUAUAUACUUUUAGAUUUCUUAUUGUUUAAAAUGUCAUCCACCAACUCACAGGUAUUUACUUUGUGAACCCCUUGUUCUAGAGAAGCUGAGUGGUGCCCAUGUAGCUGGAAAGUUGCACAGUGAGCUUCUAACACAUGAAGCUGAGUGAGCUGACUGAAAUGCAAGCUGUAAACGGACGGAUGUGUAAAAAUAGCCCGAAGUCCAUAAGUUUGGGAAAAUUUUUACAACUUUAACAAUCUUUGAUUUGGUAAGCAGCAUAAACUAUCUAUUGCAUAUUUGAUUAUUCCUGUAUAGACAAAGCUAAAAUCAAGUUUACCUCAGACUGUUCUGUCAUAACUCUAGGAAAAUGGCAUUUGAUACAAACUUGUGUUAAUAAAAACAAACCACAAAAUCCA